UCCCUGGUGGCAUAGUUGGGAAGGAAUCUGCCUGCAGUGCAGCAGACCCAGGUUUGAUCCCUGGCUCGGGAA
rnacentral:tRNA from 1 species